rnacentral:lncRNA from 1 species
ACGACUUCAUCUUGAAACUAUCCAUUUAUAAAAUCAAAAGCUACUAUACCAAUUUCUGUUGAAAUUUCCUGCUCACUUCUUUUGUCAUUCUCUCCUUUAAAGGUUGUGGUAUAGGUAAAUUGAAAUGAAAUGCUAAUGUUGUAAGGAUUUGAUUUUGAUUUUUUAACUGCAAACAUACUUCAAUUACUUUUAUGAGUAUUUAUGACAUCUUUUCUUCCUAUGUUAUGAGUAUUUAUAGCUACAUUAUGCAGGGAAUGCUGAUGACCCCCACAAAUCCAGCUUAUCUGUAUGCGAUUCAGAACAGAACUCUACUGCUUGUUUGCAGAAUGCAUCUAUGCUUUCCGAUCAGUACAUUCCAACUCAUUCUGCUUCAGAACCAACCCUUCCUGGUUUCAUGUGAGCUUCUCAAAGUGGCUAUUUUAUUACUUUCAGCAUGUACUGUUUCUAUCUCUUUUUGUGUGUCAGUAUACCACCUUUGACGUGACAUACUUGGGUUGGCAUUCUACUUUAAAACCGACUUUCGUUUUUUGAUUGCAGAAAACUGGAGGCAAUCUUUAGUUACGCUCACCCAUUCUUCCGUUGAAUCAUCUGGAGCUAAUAACUGCUCGAGUAGUGAAAAUCAGCAGUUAACUUGUACUGACGUUUCCAAGCCUGAUCCAGUAAAGAUGGAGCACUGGUUAGGGAAGAACAAAUGCAACUUACAGAAUUUUAUUCAGAAGAUGAGUUGGAGUGAUCUUAUAUAUUUUCAACAUAGACUGCUGCAGGAAGCAGUUGCAAAAAAGAGGCUAGCUGGUGUGUGCAUCAUUUUGUACUGAAUUGACAGUAUUGGCGGUUUCGUAUUUCACAAUACAUUGAAGUUGGAUGCCGUAUUGACAGUAAAAUAUGAUUUUUCAAUUUCGUUUAACAGUUUGCAUACCGUAUUGACAGUAAAAUAUGAUUUUUCAGAAUUCAUUGAAGUUGGAUGCCUUAAGUGGGCGGACUGGUCCAUGUUCUCAGCCAAUGCCCCGUGCCAAAAAGACUCUUUCUAGAGUUGCUGUCACAAGAGCUUCGUCAGAGAAAUAUUCAGAUUUUUCUUUGCCAAGAUCAGAUAUUUCUAAGGAGCAACGUAAAUCAUGUGAUAUCUGCAGACGAUUUGAGAAUGUGUUAAAUCAUAUCCCAGUAUGCUCUGGUUGCAAGGUUUUAGGACUCAUCCCUGGUCCUUUUUUAUACUUCGCCUAUUUUUUAUACUUGCUUCUUUAUCUUUAUUCUUAUUAAUAUUAUCAUCAUCAUCAUUAUUAUUGAAUGGUACUUAAUAUAAAAUUUUGUUUCUAUGAACUUACAGGUUUUGUUGGAGAUAUAUAGAGUGGUAAAGGUAUAUUCGGGAUCUGUUGAAGAUAUAUAAGAUGGAAUCUUAUGUUAUUUUCUUCUAUAUUGUGUUUUGUAGCAGUAGUUUAAACGCUGAAAGAAUUAUAAUAAUUUCUGAAUAGAACUUUUUGACAAUAAUCUAUAUAUUUAGGCCGGCUGUGGAGGAUGUGCGAUAACCUCUUCAAAAAACUAUUCAGGUGUACACGGGAAUAAAAGUAGUAUAAUGAACUCGUUCUCAUAAAUGUUAUUUACGUUACCCAUUUUUGAAUUUGUGAAAGGUUGUCAUAUUAAAAAGCCAAAUACUAGGCAAA